UGCCAGCCGCCGCGGUAAUACGGAGGGUCCAAGCAUUAAUCGGAUUUACUGGGCGUAAAGAGCGCGUAGGCUGAAGUGAAAGUCAGAUGUGAAAGCCCGAAGCUCAACUUCGGAAUUGCAUCCGAAACUUCAUUUCUAGAGGAUAGACGGAGAAGACGGAAUUCCACGAGUAGCGGUGAAAUGCGUAGAUACGUGGAAGAACACCGGUGGCGAAGGCGACUUUCUGGCUCGUAACUGACGCUGAGGCACGAAAGCGUGGGGAGCAAACAGGAUUAGAUA
rnacentral:rRNA from 1 species